rnacentral:rRNA from 1 species
GAUGAGCGCUGGCGGCGUGCCUAAUACAUGCAAGUCGAGCGAACAGACGAGGAGCUUGCUCCUCUGACGUUAGCGGCGGACGGGUGAGUAACACGUGGAUAACCUGCCUAUAAGACUGGGAUAACUUCGGGAAACCGGAGCUAAUACCGGAUAAUAUAUUGAACCGCAUGGUUCAAUAGUGAAAGACGGUUUUGCUGUCACUUAUAGAUGGAUCCGCGCCGCAUUAGCUAGUUGGUAAGGUAACGGCUUACCAAGGCAACGAUGCGUAGCCGACCUGAGAGGGUGAUCGGCCACACUGGAACUGAGACACGGUCCAGACUCCUACGGGAGGCAGCAGUAGGGAAUCUUCCGCAAUGGGCGAAAGCCUGACGGAGCAACGCCGCGUGAGUGAUGAAGGUCUUCGGAUCGUAAAACUCUGUUAUUAGGGAAGAACAAAUGUGUAAGUAACUAUGCACGUCUUGACGGUACCUAAUCAGAAAGCCACGGCUAACUACGUG